rnacentral:rRNA from 1 species
UACAGAGGAGGCAAGCGUUGUUCGGAAUCACUGGGCUUAAAGCGCGUGUAGGCGGCCAUGCAAGUACUUUGUGAAAUCCCUCGGCUCAACCGGGGAAUUGCUUGGUAUACUGCAGGGCUUGAGGCGGGUAGGGGUGCUUGGAACUCUAGGUGGAGCGGUGAAAUGCGUAGAUAUCUAGAGGAACGCCUGUGGCGAAAGCGGAGCACUGGGCCCGUCCUGACGCUAAGACGCGAAAGCCAGGGGAGCGAACGGG